rnacentral:rRNA from 1 species
UACAGAGGUGCCGAGCGUUAGGCGGAAUCACUGGGCUUAAAGCGCGUGUAGGCGGGUCGUUAAGUGCCUUGUGAAAUCCCACGGCUCAACCGUGGAACGGCUGGGCAUACUGGCGAUCUUGAGGCACCCAGGGGCUGUCGGAACAAAUGGUGGAGCGGUGAAAUGCGUAGAUAUCAUUUGGAACGCCAACGGUGAAAACAGACAGCUGGGGGUGUCCUGACGCUGAGACGCGAAAGCGUGGGGAGCAAACAGG